rnacentral:rRNA from 1 species
GACGAACGCUGGCGGCGUGCUUAACACAUGCAAGUCGAACGGAAAGGCCCUGCUUUUGUGGGGUGCUCGAGUGGCGAACGGGUGAGUAACACGUGAGUAACCUGCCCUUGACUUUGGGAUAACUUCAGGAAACUGGGGCUAAUACCGGAUAGGUGCUCCUGCUGCAUGGUGGGGGUUGGAAAGUUUCGGCGGUUGGGGAUGGACUCGCGGCUUAUCAGCUUGUUGGUGGGGUAGUGGCUUACCAAGGCUUUGACGGGUAGCCGGCCUGAGAGGGUGACCGGCCACAUUGGGACUGAGAUACGGCCCAGACUCCUACGGGAGGCAGCAGUGGGGAAUAUUGCACAAUGGGCGGAAGCCUGAUGCAGCAACGCCGCGUGCGGGAUUACGGCCUUCGGGUUGUAAACCGCUUUCGCCUGUGACAAAGCGUGAGUGACGGUGAUGGAUGAAGAAGCACCGGCUAACUACGUG